GAUGAACGCUGGCGGCGUGCUUAACACAUGCAAGUCGAACGGAAAGGCCCAAGCUUGCUUGGGUACUCGAGUGGCGAACGGGUGAGUAACACGUGGGUGAUCUGCCCUGCACUUCGGGAUAAGCCUGGGAAACUGGGUCUAAUACCGGAUAGGACCACAUUUUGGAUGGUGUGGUGGAAAGUUUUUCGGUGUGGGAUGAGCUCGCGGCCUAUCAGCUUGUUGGUGGGGUAAUGGCCUACCAAGGCGUCGACGGGUAGCCGGCCUGAGUGGGUGUACGGCCACAUUGGGACUGGGAUACGGCCCAGACUCCUACGGGAGGCAGCAGUGGGGAAUAUUGCACAAUGGGCGCAAGCCUGAUGCAGCGACGCCGCGUGGGGGAUGACGGCCUUCGGGUUGUAAACUCCUUUCGCUAGGGACGAAGCGUUAUGUGACGGUACCUGGAGAAGAAGCACCGGCUAACUACGUG
rnacentral:rRNA from 1 species